AGCCCAUUGAAGGUGGUGGGUAUUUUGGCUUUGGAGGAGGCCAAAUGCAGCCUUUGUUGCUCUGAAUAAAUGAGUUUAUGAUUCAGUGUAGCCUUGGUCCCUGUGAAAGGAGCCCCCAUGAGAAGUUCCGUCAGAGAGACUGAAUUACAAGCCAACAGGACUUUGCUGUAAUUUAUUUAAAGUUAUUUACAUGCACAAGAGUACAUUUGUGGAGCCAGGUUCUGCCGUGAUGAAAUUGGAAAGGACGUUUACCUAAUGCUAAGGUGAUCCAAUGGAAGACUGCAGCAUGUAGCUACCGAAGCCUGAUAUAAAUGCACUCCGUGCUGCCAGCACCAAGAAUGCUUUGGCGUGAUGAUGCCAGCCCGCCUGCUCUGCAUGCUACAGAUCCCAGCACAACUGCAAGAAGAACAGUAGAAGACUUUGAUCCAUCUGAAUGAAGCUGAAAAGCAGAAAGUUUUAUAAAAUGGAUUAAAAUUAGAGAAGGAGUCUGGUUAGCUAUCAGGGAUUCCAAGAACCUGUAAGAACAGGCUUGCAUCGAAGUCACAUCGGGUCUGUGAGCCUCCUGCUUUCAGAACUAAUUUCAGAACAUAUGAAUGAGUCUGAACUAUGGGAGGUCACCAGGAAAGGCAGCCCUGAGCUCCUAGCAAGGCCGUCUUGUUGGGUUCAAGAGAAAACACAGCUCCAAGCAGGUUGGUUUAUCUUGCUGCUUUAGGGGCAGGGGAUUUAGGGGAUUUUCCAGUCUGGAGUGAGCUUCUUGCUACUGGAGAAGCCAACAACUGUUUACAAGACAACUGUGUGCCUUGAAUGCAAGAAGGGCAUGCCAUUGGCUCCUGUUUGAAUAAACACUCAUUAGGUGUUCAAACAUAUUUGCCUGGUCAAAGUCUAAGACAUCCAAGACUUUCCACUUUCCUUCAGAUUUAUAUCCUAGCUCAGCAUGGCGACAGACAGACAGCACAAGAGGACGGGAAAAUGUUGCAGUCUGAAUUCUGCUGUCCAGUUCUUCAGUUUUUAUUUUUUUUCUGGCUCAUGAAGGCAAUUCUGAUCUCUUUGGCCAAACUUAAGGGAAGCUGCUCAGAGGGUAUGUCAAGACCAGUUCCCUAACUUUUAACUGGGAGAAGUUCCACACAGUGGAAAGUCUUCAUCUAUCAUCAAUUCAAGAUAUUAAUUCAAGGAAUAAUUGAUGUUUUAUCUAAUUUAUGUGGUCUGAGGGUAUGCUUCAACCACAGGGUAGACCACAGAUGUAUGCUGCAGCAAUUUUCACAGGCUGGCUCUCUUGCUUAUCCACCUUGAAGGCUGGAGUGCCAUGGGUCUCCUCCAGUAUGUGCACCUGGCUGUCCUGCCCAGAGAAACCAAGACACAAGAAGAGGAGAGCUCUAACCCCAAUGUUGAAUUGAAGUGGUGGGUUGCAGAGCUGGAAGCACUCCCUGUGUUACAUCUCACCCAAAGCCAAUACAACUCUGAAGUCUUCCUUGGUAGUUUGUAAAACUGAAACAUGGAUCUAGGAGUUAAAAUGGUAUAAGCUGAAUUUUACAUUUGGGUGUAAGAGAGUGAGAAGAGUGAGAAUGUUGUCAGUGGAUAAAGGCAUAUUUUUAGUUAUUACAUUUUGAAAUCAUUGAGUUUUUCCUGGAAACAAAGAAUUAUUCUGCUGAAUCCUCUGAGACCUAUUAGUAAGGAUAAAGAGUUGAAGUGUUCCUUUGGGGCAAAAGACACUAUAGAAUGGAACAAAAAGAUCCUGAAGCAAAAAAGCCUGGAAACAGUUAUGGGGGAAAAGCUUAAGGGAAGAAAGAUUCAUGCUUUCGUGUUGCAUAAGUUUAUGAGAGACUGAAGGAAAACAGAGAAAUUGGACCAGUGUAUAUGUGUUGUGUCCAAAGCAGAGUAGCAUAUUUUUGCAGCACAGAAACAAAAAUUCAGAUGGUUUGUUUUUAUUUAUAAUUAGUAUAUGCAUGAGUGUUGGCUUUUAGGGAUGAUCUCAUUAUGAAAAAAGGAUGAGCGAAAUGUAAUGCUUUCUGGACCUCUGCCCAUUCCGCAAAUCACAUUCUCCUCCAGGCUUCCUCAGCAGAACAUCUCUGUUUUCUACAUAAUGAUGUACUCAAAGAUGAGUUGCAUUCAUUUAUUUUCUAAAGUAGGGCUUGUUUGCACUCUAUUUGGAAUAGAUUUCUGUCUAAUUAUACUAAUGCACGUUCAGUCCUAAUCUAAUAAUCUGAUCUGGAUUACUAAAUGCUAACAGAGCUGUUAUCUAUCAUGGAUGAGUUUAUCUCAGUGAAGGCAAUGAUUUCCAAAGGGAAUGAACAAGAUUUCAGAGUAUGUAUGUGAAUAAUAAAUUAAGAUACAGAUAGCACAUGUUAGUAAUGAGGAGGUAAAAUGAUAAUUGAGUGGCUCCAAACUGCUGUGAUUUAAAGUAGAUUUUAAUUGGUAGAGAUUUGCAAGGUACAUGACCAUUGUGCAAGUUAACGGUCUUGAACUAAGAGGACAGGAUAGUUUUUAAAAAAUUAUUUUUGCAAAGGAGUUGUCAACUCGAAUUCAAUUCAAGUUCCAUCGGGUAGGGUUACAUUUUGCCUGUCUGAAUUCUAUUUGGAGUUUAACAGCAGUAUUAGUUUAUCAAUUCUUACAUGCAACUUUUACAUAGAGUUGUUGAAAUACUGAUCUUUUUCACUGCAAAGGGGUCUUAAAACACAUUCUGACCUUUACAGAAAAAAAAGCAAUUUUCAUGAUAAAAUCAAAUAUGAAUUAUUCCAAGGAACAAGCAUCAAGUCCAAAGUCACAACACUUGAUGAUAAUGAUAGGACUUCUGCAGGUGAAAAUGUUGAUGUUUUGUUUUGGUUUGUAUUAGUAUGAUAGCAGGUCUUCUGUGACCAAAUUUUGGAAUUCAGCUUUGAUCUGGAAAGUUUUAUUUGAGAUAUGUGACCUUAAUCUAAUAUUUGUGUUUUACAUUACUGAGUCUGAUUUACUGAAGAAAUAGACUGAUCAAGUUUAAAUGCUGCAACAGCAAACAUUUGAGUAAUAAAUUUAGAAUAGUUAACAGAAAGUCCCUAUUGGGAAUUUAAGUUCCAGUAAGCAUAUUUCUGUGUCAAUGAUUGGAAAGAAAAAAAGAUAUUGUGGACACUACAUGGUAUGGCAUGUCUGCUGUCUGCCUGUAAGGGAGAGAAGAUUUUGGUAGCCUAAAAUGCAAACUGGUACUUCUAAUGGAGGGGGUGACUUGUGCAGCAGAGGAAUAGGUGACUGUCUUUCAAAGCAUCAAAAUGAUCAAGGAUUUCUCAGAUCUGCAGAGGUAAUCCAUCUAAAGGCAGGUCCUAUGGAAGUGGAUGGGGGGUAAUGAAAUCGAGGAGAAAAAUCACAAGGGAACAAAAUAAAUGUGAUUAUUGCAAACGUACCAGUUAGACUACAGAUUCUUCUGCUUCUCUAUCUUCAUAGCUGAAAAUACCAAACUGCUACAAGAAAGUAUUCUGGUGGGCAGAGCAUGUGCAGAAAUCGGUCUGAAAGAAUGAACCAAAGGAGAGGUUCUAAUGCACUGAACAAAGCAGAGCCCUCCUCUAAAGAAAUCAGGUGGAUGUCAGAGCAGACCACAGCUGGAUAAAAAAAAAAUGGACAAUCUUCUCAGUGGACUACUGAGUUUAGAAGAGAGGUUGGGGAUUCUGCUCAUCCUUUAACCAUUUAACAGAAAGUAAGCACAACAGUUAUAUGCAAGGAACAAGGUGAAGGAAAAUAAUUUCAGCAUAUCACAGUUAAACAAGAGAACAGGACAGCAGAAGACCCUUUCAGUAGGGAUUUGACCUAUUUCAAACUGUGCUUCACCAAACAUGAUUUCUAAAACCCUGGGAUUUGGGUAGAAACACUUAUCUAUCCUGCUGAUUUUCUCAAAAAUCCUUUGUGCCCCUUCAGCAGCAGAGGAGAGACAGCUGGAAUCACUGCAGGUGAACACUGCUUAUCAAGGCCUGCUACUUGAAUUUUGGGUUGUAUUUUAUGCCAUUAGUAAGUGAGCUAGCAAAUACUAUAUUAGUUUGCCUAGUUAAAUUUGCAUAUGUAUUUUGAUGGGGUAGUAAAUAAUGAAAAAGACAAGAAAAUAAGCUAGAGAGCAAUAUACUUAUGAGGAAAAAUUGUGAUAAUCCAUCAGCUGUAGUUUGGUACAGCCAUAUGGAAGGAGAGAUGAGACAAUGACCCCAAAAAGGGAUCACUGGAGAUAUAGUGCCUCAACACAAGUUUUCUUUGUCAUACUGCGGCAAAAAAGGCAAAUAGAGUGCUGUGAUGUAUAGAAUGAGUAUAUUAACGAGUCAUCAUUUGCAGCAUCUGUUGUUAGUAUACUUCUGUAGCAUGUAUGUUGCAAGCAAAAGUUAGUGAAAUGUGUCGUGAUGUGAAAUGGGGACAAACUAACAUUUUCCAGAUAUGCUGCAACUCUAGCAUCAGUGUGGGAAGUGGUGGAGAGGUAUUAGCGGCAGUGCAGCUUCUUGUCCUCCGUUGUUGCAGGUAGGAAACAUCUUCCACCUUGGAAGAACUUGGGAAAUUCUAGCUCUCCAACUCUCUCUUUUGAUCAUGAUCAGGAGGGAAAUAAGGCUCAGGAAAGUAUUUGUUAUCUCUCUGAAUUUUAUAAGGCAGAAAGAAGAUUGUACCUAUUGCAAGUAAAGAGGAAAAAACUAUAAAUCACUAAAAAAAAUAAAUCUAUUUUCUUCAGAAAUUAUGAGCACAAAUAUUUAGAUGCACAAGAUAAAGAGUUACUCUUUCCUCAGGUUCCCAGCACUGGAGUCUGGGAUUUUGCUGGCCAUCCUAAUGAUGGCUGUUUAAGCCAGUACCUCAUCACAUCAAAUAGUUUUCAUUUCUAAUUGUUGAUGAUGGGGAUAUCCAACUGAAAUCUUGGCCUUAGUAGGCUAAAAUCCUUUUUAUACAAAAAUGCAGUUUUACUUACAAGAUGGACAA